CAGCCGCCGCGGGAAUACGGAGGGUGCAAGCGUUAAUCGGAAUUACUGGGCGUAAAGCGCACGCAGGCGGUUUGUUAAGUCAGAUGUGAAAUCCCCGAGCUUAACUUGGGAACUGCAUUUGAAACUGGCAAGCUAGAGUCUUGUAGAGGGGGGUAGAAUUCCCGGAGUAGCGGUGAAAUGCGUAGAGAUCUGGAGGAAUACCGGUGGCGAAGGCGGCCCCCUGGACAAAGACUGACGCUCAGGUGCGAAAGCGUGGGAGCAAACAGGAUUAGAUACCCCUGUAGUCCCUGUCUCUUAUACA
rnacentral:rRNA from 1 species